ACCUUCGGGCCUCAUGCCAUCAGAUGUGCCCAGAUGGGAUUAGCUAGUAGGUGGGGUAACGGCUCACCUAGGCGACGAUCCCUAGCUGGUCUGAGAGGAUGACCAGCCACACUGGAACUGAGACACGGUCCAGACUCCUACGGGAGGCAGCAGUGGGGAAUAUUGCACAAUGGGCGCAAGCCUGAUGCAGCCAUGCCGCGUGUGUGAAGAAGGCCUUCGGGUUGUAAAGCACUUUCAGCGGGGAGGAAGGCGUUAAGGUUAAUAACCUUGGCGAUUGACGUUACCCGCAGAAGAAGCACCGGCUAACUCCGUGCCAGCAGCCGCGGUAAUACGGAGGGUGCAAGCGUUAAUCGGAAUUACUGGGCGUAAAGCGCACGCAGGCGGUCUGUCAAGU
rnacentral:rRNA from 1 species